UUCGUACUGAACCUUCUGCCACACUGAUGGCAUUCAUGAGGUCUUUCACCAGUGUGUGAAAGGGUGUGUCUGUUUAAAUGGCUCUUCCUAUUGAAUCUUUUGCCACACUCAUGGCAUUCAUGAGGUCUUUCACCAGUGUGUGAAAGGGUGUGUCUGUUUAAAUGGCUCUUCCUAUUGAACCUUUUGCAACACUCAUGGCAUUCAUGAGAUCUUUCACCAGUGUGUGAAAGGAUGUGCAUAUUGAGUCGACACUUGUAACGGAAACGUCUGCCACACUGAAUGCAUUCAUGAGGUCCUCCACCAGAGGGUGUGGGUGUAUUUGCUGAGGUCAGCCUUCCC